rnacentral:misc_RNA from 1 species
AAAAAGCCUCGGGAGUCUAUCCUUCGCACUGAAUUUGCUAAUGCAAUUGAGUUCAUCAACAAGGAUCUAUCUGAAGAAAAUCGACUUAGAUUUCUCCACUGGGAUUUGAAUAAGCAUUCACGAAGCAAAGCUACAAAUGUCUUGUUUUCUCUGGGAAAAGUGGCUACAUAUGCAUUGAAUUUGACAGGUUUCUUCUAUUGCCAAGUUACAUCAGCUAUAAGAUCCGAGGGAUGUUUGAAAUUGCCCACUAUUGAAUGUACUGCUGCUAGUAAUGUGGAUCCUUUGAGACGUUUUGACCCUGCUGUUGAGAAACAAUAUAAUAAUGACAAUGGUGAGUCAGAUAACUCGGAGGGGAAAACCAAUGGAUGUAACUACGUUAGUGAUGACUAUCUUAAACCAACAAUGUUCCAAAAGGGGGUGCUAAGGACAAAUUGCAUAGAUUGCUUGGAUCGUACAAAUGUGGCACAGUAUGCAUAUGGAUUGGCUGCUUUGGGUUAUCAACUCAAUGCAUUAGGAGUUACAAAUUCAACAAAGAUAGACCUUGAUGAUCCUUUGGCAGAAGAAUUAAUGGGAUUCUAUGAGAGGAUGGGUGAUACACUUGCUCAUCAAUAUGGUGGCUCUGCAGCUCACAACAAGAUAUUUUCAGAGAGGAGG